rnacentral:rRNA from 1 species
CCAAUAGCGUAUAUUAAGGUUGCUGCGGUUAAAAAGCUCGUAGUUGAAUUUCGGAAUUGAUGCAUCGGUCGUGCCUUAAGGGGCAUGAACUGGUGUAGCCAAUUUCUCACCUUCUGGUGAAUUGUUGAUGUUCUUAAUGGGUGUCUCAAUGAACUAGAAUUUUUUACUUUGAAAAAAUUAGAGUGUUUAAAGCAGGCAUUAAUUUGCUUGAAUACAUUAGCAUGGAAUAAUGAAAUAGGACAGUGGUUCCGUUUUGUUGGUUUCUAGGAUCACGUAAUGAUUAAUAGGGACAGUUGGGGGCAUUAGUAUUCAAUUGUCAGAGGUGAAAUUCUUGGAUUUAUUGAAGACUAACUAUUGCGAAAGCAUUUGCCAAGGAUGUUUUCAUUAAUCAAGAACGAAAGUUAGGGGAUCAAAGCCGAUUAAGUACGUCGUAGUCCUAACCAUAAACUAUACCAACUAGGAAUCAGACGAUGUUAAUUUUUUAAUGACUCGUUUGGUACCUUACG